rnacentral:rRNA from 1 species
GACGAACGCUGGCGGCGUGCCUAAUACAUGCAAGUCGAGCGCAGGAAAUCGACGGAACCCUUCGGGGGGAAGUCGACGGAAUGAGCGGCGGACGGGUGAGUAACACGUAAAGAACCUGCCCUCAGGUCUGGGAUAACCACGAGAAAUCGGGGCUAAUACCGGAUGGGUCAUCGGACCGCAUGGUCCGAGGAUGAAAGGCGCUCCGGCGUCGCCUGGGGAUGGCUUUGCGGUGCAUUAGCUAGUUGGUGGGGCAAUGGCCCACCAAGGCGACGAUGCAUAGCCGACCUGAGUGGGUGAUCGGCCACACUGGGACUGAGACACGGCCCAGACUCCUACGGGAGGCAGCAGUAGGGAAUCUUCCACAAUGGACGAAAGUCUGAUGGAGCAACGCCGCGUGAACGAUGAAGGCCUUCGGGUCGUAAAGUUCUGUUGUAAGGGAAGAACAAGUGCCGCAGGCAAUGGCGGCACCUUGACGGUACCUUGCGAGAAAGCCACGGCUAACUACGUGCCAGCCGCCGCAGUAACAC